rnacentral:rRNA from 1 species
GGAAUAUUGGACAAUGGGCGCAAGCCUGAUCCAGCCAUGCCGCGUGGAUGAAGAAGGCCCUAGGGUUGUAAAGUCCUUUCGGUGGUGAAGAUAAUGACGGUAACCACAUAAGAAGCCCCGGCUAAUUUCGUUCCAGCAGCCGCGGUAAUACGAAAGGGGCUAGCGAUGUUCGGAAUUACUGGGCGUAAAGCGCACGUAGGCGGUUUUGUAAGUGGGGGGUGAAAACCCGGAGCUCAACUCCGGAACUGCCUCCAAAACUACAUGGCUUGAGGACGCGAGAGGAUAGUGGAAUUCCGAGUGUAGAGGUGAAAUUCGUAGAUAUUCGGAAGAACACCAGUGGCGAAGGCGACUGUCUGGCGCGUUUCUGACGCUGAGGUGCGAAAGCGUGGGGAGCAAAC